rnacentral:rRNA from 1 species
AAAAGAAACUAACAAGGAUUCCCCUAGUAACGGCGAGUGAAGCGGGAUGAGCUCAAAUUUAAAAUCUGGCUGGUUUACUAGUCCGAAUUGUAGUUUAAAGAAGCGUUUUCGGUGGCAGUCUCGGUAUAAAUCCUUUGGAAUAGGGUAUCAUAGAGGGUGAGAAUCCCGUCUUUGACUGAGAAUAUGCUACUAUGUGAUACGUUUUCAAAGAGUCGAGUUGUUUGGGAAUGCAGCUCAAAAUGGGUGGUAAAUUUCAUCUAAAGCUAAAUAUUGGCGAGAGACCGAUAGCGAACAAGUACCGUGAGGGAAAGAUGAAAAGAACUUUGAAAAGAGAGUUAAACAGUGCGUGAAAUUGUUGAAAGGGAAACGCUUGAAACCAGUCAUGUAGUUGGAAAAUCAGUGUUCAAUUGGGGGGAAUGGGGGAGGUGUGGACCGCAAGGCUGCUCUUUUCUAUAUCUCUUUUGUUGGGCAUGCACUUUUUCUUCCGCAGGUCAACAUCAGUUUCUUUUGCUGGACAAAACUCUUGAGAAGGUAGCAGCUUUGGCUGUGUUAUAGCUCUGGAGCGAUACAGUGGAGGGGACUGAGGUUUUCGCAGCAUGUGCUCUCGGGCAAGGCCGAUUGGGUGCUAUGGGAUCGUUCGGGGUACAAUACAUGUAUUUUGCUUCGUGUCUUUUC